CCUACGGGAGGCAGCAGUGGGGGAUAUUGCACAAUGGGGGAAACCCUGAUGCAGCGACGCCGCGUGUGGGAAGACGGUCCUCUGGAUUGUACACCACUGUCCCCAGGGACGAAGAUGACGGUACCUGGGGAGUAAGCUCCGGCGAACUACGUGCCAGCAGCCGCGGUAAUACGGAGGGAGCGAGCGUUGUCCGGAAUUACGGGGUGUAAAGGGAGCGUAGACGGCAGCGCAAGUCUGGAGUGAAAUCCCAUGGCUUAACCAUGGAACUGCCUGGGAAACUGUGCAGCUAGAGUGCAGGAGAGGUAAGCGGAAUGCCUAGUGUAGCGGUGAAAUGCGUAGAUAUUAGGAGGAACACCAGUGGCGAAGGCGGCUUACUGGACUGUAACUGACGUUGAGGCUCGAAAGCGUGGGGAGCAAACAGGAUUAGAUACCCCAGUAGUC
rnacentral:rRNA from 1 species